rnacentral:rRNA from 1 species
ACGUAGGGGGCAAGCGUUAUCCGGAAUUAUUGGGCGUAAAGAGUGCGUAGGUGGUUUUUUAAGCGUGAGGUGAAAGGCAAUAGCUUAACUAUUGUAAGCCUUGCGAACUGGAAGACUUGAGUGCAGGAGAGGAAAGUGGAAUUCCUAGUGGAGCGGUGGAAGGCGUAGAUAGGCGAAGGAGCAACGGUGGCGGAGGCGGCUAACGGGACUGUAUCCGACGCUGAGGCACGAAAGCGUGGGGAGCACAAAG